AUUCGAGUAAGGUAACUCCACGCCUACGUGAGUCUCCUCGCGGCCUGGUACAGGACCCACGUAUCUCACUCGCCCUUGAAGAACUUUACCCUCUGGCGAUAUAAUCUUCACGAGAUGAUCCAGCUUUAGAUCUCUUGGUAUCUGUCGAAAGAAGGAAAAUACAGGGGAAGGUUAAAGAUUAAUCGAAUAUUAAAAAGGAAAUAUUUUCUAAGCUCGUCUUUGUUAUCGCACCAACGAUAUUUCAAAAAACGAAAUUACCACGAAAAUCGGAUCGUAACAAUCCGAUUAAUCGUAUUCUAAAAAAUCUAUCUACUACUCUACGAGAAAUAGAUUCGUACGGUCUGGCAUCCUGUGGCGGAUGCCAGUCACGGAUUAGAUCCGGCUCAGAGUAUCGCCGUGUACGUCUCCGCCUAGCUGUCUGUCUGUUCCAGUAAUCGGAACUGACGCCGCUACUGGAUAUUGUCAGCAUCGAGUCGAUGCUUCGUCGCAAAUAAUCCUCGGCCUCGUCGAUCAACGACUCGGUCGAAUCGCCGCUGUUAUCGCCGGUCACCAAAUCCGAGCGCAGAUUUGGCAAGCUGCCACGCGUCAUCGGGCAUUCUGCGAGCAAACCAACUUGAUGAUCGUAUGCGAAAAACUUGCUACUUGUUGGGGAAAACACCAGAUUCAUAACAGGUUCCGGCUAAUUAAGAUUGUCUUCCCGAGAGGAUUUCGAAUUUGUUCAUCGUAAACGUAAAUUCAUCGAAUCGUAAAUUUCUCUUAGGAACGCUCUUAGAAGUUUUCGAGGACGUAGCAGGCGGGUGCACGUGGGUAGGAGAAGAGGGCAUAGAAGACCAGGUGGGUCUCGGGGUGGAAGUGGCGAGCGGAACUCUCCAAGUGUCGAAGGACGCCG